CUGUAAGCCUGUGAAGGUGGCCUGUGAGGGUUGCUGGAGGUAUCAGAAGUGCGAAUGCUGACAUAAGUAACGAUAAAGCGGGUGAAAAGCCCGCUCGCCGGAAGACCAAGGGUUCCUGUCCAACGUUAAUCGGGGCAGGGUGAGUCGACCCCUAAGGCGAGGCCGAAAGGCGUAGUCGAUGGGAAACGGGUUAAUAUUCCCGUACUUGGUGUUACUGCGAAGGGGGGACGGAGAAGGCUAUGUUGGCCGGGCGACGGUUGUCCCGGUUUAAGCGUGUAGGUGUGUGUUCCAGGUAAAUCCGGUUCACUUUAACACUGAGGCGUGAUGACGAGGCACUACGGUGCUGAAGCAACAAAUGCCCUGCUUCCAGGAAAAGCCUCUAAGCAUCAGGUAACAUCAAAUCGUACCCCAAACCGACACAGGUGGUCAGGUAGAGAAUACCAAGGCGCUUGAGAGAACUCGGGUGAAGGAACUAGGCAAAAUGGUGCCGUAACUUCGGGAGAAGGCACGCUGACAUGUAGGUGAAGUGAUUUACUCAUGGAGCUGAAGUCAGUCGAAGAUACCAGCUGGCUGCAACUGUUUAUUAAAAACACAGCACUGUGCAAACACGAAAGUGGACGUAUACGGUGUGACGCCUGCCCGGUGCCGGAAGGUUAAUUGAUGGGGUCAGCGCAAGCGAAGCUCCUGAUCGAAGCCCCGGUAAACGGCGGCCGUAACUAUAACGGUCCUAAGGUAGCGAAAUUCCUUGUCGGGUAAGUUCCGACCUGCACGAAUGGCGUAAUGAUGGCCAGGCUGUCUCCACCCGAGACUCAGUGAAAUUGAACUCGCUGUGAAGAUGCAGUGUACCCGCGGCAAGACGGAAAGACCCCGUGAACCUUUACUAUAGCUUGACACUGAACAUUGAGCCUUGAUGUGUAGGAUAGGUGGGAGGCUUUGAAGUGUGGACGCCAGUCUGCAUGGAGCCGACCUUGAAAUACCACCCUUUAAUGUUUGAUGUUCUAACGUGGACCCGUAAUCCGGGUUGCGGACAGUGUCUGGUGGGUAGUUUGACUGGGGCGGUCUCCUCCUAAAGAGUAACGGAGGAGCACGAAGGUUGGCUAAUCCUGGUCGGACAUCAGGAGGUUAGUGCAAUGGCAUAAGCCAGCUUGACUGCGAGCGUGACGGCGCGAGCAGGUGCGAAAGCAGGUCAUAGUGAUCCGGUGGUUCUGAAUGGAAGGGCCAUCGCUCAACGGAUAAAAGGUACUCCGGGGAUAACAGGCUGAUACCGCCCAAGAGUUCAUAUCGACGGCGGUGUUUGGCACCUCGAUGUCGGCUCAUCACAUCCUGGGGCUGAAGUAGGUCCCAAGGGUAUGGCUGUUCGCCAUUUAAAGUGGUACGCGAGCUGGGUUUAGAACGUCGUGAGACAGUUCGGUCCCUAUCUGCCGUGGGCGCUGGAGAACUGAGGGGGGCUGCUCCUAGUACGAGAGGACCGGAGUGGACGCAUCACUGGUGUUCGGGUUGUCAUGCCAAUGGCACUGCCCGGUAGCUAAAUGCGGAAGAGAUAAGUGCUGAAAGCAUCUAAGCACGAAACUUGCCCCGA
rnacentral:rRNA from 1 species